GGCAAAUUGAAAUAUAAACAAAAUAGCGAGUUCUAUCAAUCAAGAUACUCCCUAAUAAUUUCCAUAGAUUAAUUACAUCCGCAAACAAACUGUAUUUAGUCAGACUACUUGUAUAGUCCACUUAAGAUCACCAGGGAUCAGCCAAAGAAAGGAACAAAUGAAAACUACCAACAGUUUUAACUUCAUGUUGCUGGCAACUUAUACCAGAGUCUGAUGCAUCAAGUUGUAUUUUCCUCCACAGAAUUUGCAUUUUUCUUGCUGCUCUUUGUUGUUUUCGGAGAAGAUUUACUUCGUGAGAAAGGCAUGUACUUGAGGCGAUAACUAACAAGUGAAGGUCCAAAUAUGCUGUAUUUACCAGCACUGCUGAAAGCCGUUUCUGCAUCAUCUCGCCUGUAGAAAACCACUUUCACACGGUUACUCUUCUUCAGCACUUCAGUCUCUGAUUCCUUCACACGGCCAAAUCGGCUGAAUAUCUUGUUCAAAUUUGAUUCUGAAGGGAUGGAAUCCAGGCCAGUAAAGUUCAGAAUCAGAGCUGUUGGAGAGUGAUCAUUA
rnacentral:misc_RNA from 1 species